rnacentral:rRNA from 1 species
UACGUAGGGGGCUAGCGUUGUCCGGAUUUAUUGGGCGUAAAGAGCGUGUAGGCGGCCAGGUAGGUCUGCUGUGAAAACUCGAGGCUCAACCUCGAGACGUCGGCGGAAACCAUCUGGCUAGAGUCCGGAAGAGGAGAGUGGAAUUCCUGGUGUAGCGGUGAAAUGCGCAGAUAUCAGGAGGAACACCGAUGGCGAAGGCAGGGUCUCUGGGCAUUUAACUGACGCUGAGGAGCGAAAAGCAUGGGGAGCGAACAGG